GCCAUUUCUUUGAUUUGUCUUCUGCCCAUGUUUUUAAAGGCACCAAUUGCUCUCUAAUAAUCUCAAAUUUUGGCUGAACCAAAUCUUUCCCUUUAGUUCUGAUAUCAUCACUAUUGUGCAGGUCUAGCAUGGAGACUGCCAAACUGAACACCACUGCGGCUCCACCAAACACAAUUGCAGUAGCAACUGCAAAUGCCUUUCCAAUCUGUGUGAGCCCUUCAGCUGCAGCCUUCAAUUUCUCUGGAUUUAUAGGGGUAUAUCUGUCUUUUCUCAUUUCGUUCGCCGUCGACGCCAACACCGAGUUCUCUUGUGACGGCAAUUCCCACCUUUUGGGGCCAAAGGUGACCUGAGGCAGAGAUAGAUAAGCUCUCAGAGGAUUCAAAGCAUCAGGGGACACAGUGGAGGCCUUACUGGCAUGGGAGUGCAGUGCCCACUUGGAGGCUGUGGAAAGAGACGAUGAAUCGGACGGUUUCCCGUAGAUGUAGGAGGGAAGGGAAUGCCUCGAGACCUCCGGAAGAAUGUCAGCUUGGGAUUCGUGCUCGCUUGAAAGAGGAGAGGACGGGAGGUUCUUGGAGGUGGGGAUGGAUUUCUCAGCAAGCCGGUUAACGGCAUGUUUGGAUUCCUGGAAAAAGUAGGCAGCUUCUUUUCCUGCUAGCCUUCCCGCGAGAAAACUCAUUCUCUAUGCGGAUGUUGGAUUCGAUGUGAUCGACUAGAUUUUGAUUUGGCUUGUUUUUAC
rnacentral:misc_RNA from 1 species